AAGCAGUUGAUAAUGCAGAUCAGGUAUUUUAAUUUCAUUGAGUCUGAUUGUAUUUCUGAUGUCUGUUGCUAGAAUCCUCUUCUCCUUCACUGACACAUUCUGCCUGAGAGCUGCAUGCUUUUGAGGUGCUGUCCUGGGAGAUGUGCCAUGGACAACUGAAUCUUUCCCCUCAUUUUUGAGUGCAAUUUAGAAUGUUGGCUCUUUGCCAGAGGGUUUAACAGUGACAUCACCACUGUUCUGAAAACAGCGGAUCAUUACUGAUACUUUUUGCUGUGAGUCCCAUCCUAUAAGACAUACAAGACAAACUUUGAGAACGUGAUAUGGUAUUCUUUUGGGGAUUUUUUUGGAAGAAUGCAUGCUUUGUGACUCUUGAGCAGGCUGAAUGAAACCGCGACCACCAUAUGGAAGGAAACCUGCCCUUCAGGACAUGCAGGAAUUAGCAGACUGAAAGAAACUUCUUCUUUUCCUCUGGACUGACCUUCAACCAAAUAUUUAAGAACCACACAGAGCCUGAUGUGCUCCACACUGCAUGAUUCAGUGCGAAGGAAGCAUACCUCAAUGAGGUCAUCAGGAAACAAAGAUAUAGCAGCGCUGAAAGGAACGGCAGUGGGACAUUGCUCAGAAUACUAUCGAAGAAUUCAAGCUUUUCUUAAACGACAGCACUCUUCAUUUCAGAGCUGACUUGUCAAAGAGACUAAGCCAUCAGCAGUUUAAAUUGUAAGAAUAAUCUUCUUGAAAGAACU
rnacentral:lncRNA from 1 species